GACGAACGCUGGCGGCGUGCUUAACACAUGCAAGUCGAACGGAAAGGCCCUGCUUUUGUGGGGUGCUCGAGUUGCGAACGGGUGAGUAACACGUGAGUAACCUGCCCUUGACUUUGGGAUAACUUCAUGAAACUGGGGCUAAUACCGGAUAGGAGCUCCUGCUGCAUGGUGGGGGUUGGAAAGUUUCGGCGGUUGGGGAUGGACUCGCGGCUUAUCAGCUUGUUGGUGGGGUAGUGGCUUACCAAGGCUUUGACGGGUAGCCGGCCUGAGAGGGUGACCGGCCACAUUGGGACUGAGAUACGGCCCAGCCUCCUACGGGAGGCAGCAGGGGGGAAUAUUGCACAAUGGGCGGAAGCAUGAUGCAGCAAAGCAGCGUGCGGGAUGACGGCCUUCGGGUUGUAAACCGCUUUCGCCUGUGACGAAGCGUGAGGGACGGGAAUGGGUAAAGAAGCACCGGCGAACUACGU
rnacentral:rRNA from 1 species